rnacentral:lncRNA from 1 species
CGCCAAGUGAUAAGAUAAACUCACUCAAGGCCUUUUAGGCCAGGUGAGCUAAAAAGGGGAAGGAGACAACUCCACAAAAUUAAUUUGCUAAACACAGACUCGUCAUCAGUGAAAGAAAAAUAUCUCUUAGAAUUGAUCUCAUUCACCUCCCCCUUUUUUAUUCUUUCAUUUCAUUGACUAACAAAGGAAAAUGGCAUUUCAAAUACAUUGCCCCCUCCAAAAAAAAUACCCCAAAAAAAACCAAACAAAUCAAAUCAAACAUUAUCUUUCUAAAUUGUAAACUUUGAAACCCCUUAAAGAUCCUAAAAUUGAAUAAUAACACCCAAAAUACGGUGUAAUUUUAAAGUUAAAUGAAUACAACAG